CCUACGGGAGGCAGCAGUGAGGAAUAUUGGUCAAUGGUCGGGAGACUGAACCAGCCAAGUCGCGUGAGGGAUGAAGGUCCAGCGUAUUGUAAACCUCUUUUGUCAGGGAACAAAGUCCGGGUCGCGUCCUCCGGUGAGUGUACCUGAAGAAAAAGCAUCGGCUAACUCCGUGCCAGCAGCCGCGGUAAUACGGAGGAUGCGAGCGUUAUCCGGAUUUAUUGGGUUUAAGGGGUGCGCAGGCGGUCGCUUAAGUCAGCGGUCAAAGCGCGGGGCUCAACCCCGGCCCGCCGUUGAAACUGGGAGUCUCGAGUGGGAGAGAGGUAGGCGGAAUGCGCGGUGUAGCGGUGAAAUGCAUAGAUAUCGCGCAGAACUCCGAUUGCGAAGGCAGCAUGCCGGAUCGAAACUGACGCUGAGGCACGAAAGCGUGGGUAUCGAACAGGAUUAGAUACCCGAGUAGUC
rnacentral:rRNA from 1 species